GAAAAGCUAUUCGCACGAUCUCUCGCCCAUCCCGCACGACCUCUAGCGGUCUCGCCCCCUCCUCCUCCUCCUGCACCGUUCCUCCCGCACCGUUAGCCGCCGGAGCCGCUACCUGUCGCACCCUUCGCCACGGAAGAGCCGGAGCCGCCGCAGGUCGCGGCCCUUCGCCGCGGGAGAGCCGGAGCCGCCACCCGACGCGCGCCACGGGAGCCGCGUAGGUCGCCGUCCUUCGCCGCGGGAGAGCCGGAGCCGCCACCCGUCGCGCGCCGCGGGAGCCGCCGCAGGUCGCGCCCUUCGCCGCGCCGUAGCGCCCUUCGCCGCAGGUCACCGCCCUUCGCACCCUUCGCUGCGGGAGCCGGAGCCGCCCGCCGCCCCGGGUCCUAUUCUGCCCCCACGCGAUUCGACGACGAGGACGCCGGCGGAGAACCGCUGCUACAAAUCCUCACGCUCGCCUCCACCAGUCACAUGGUCUCCAGUCAUCAAGACGCCCUCACCCUCCUCAGACUGCUGCUGGUGCUGCCAACACCACUAUCCUUCAUCUCGAUCCGGUUCCAGCAAGGAACCCAUCGCCGCGCCGACCAGUCCAAGGAACUCACAUCACCUCCAUCAAGGAAAACAAUGACCUAUGUGAUUAGAAAUAUGUGCUUGCUUCUUCAUGAAGAGCCAAAAAAGGUACCAAUUGGUCCUUCUAUUUAAAUAAAUGAUGCUGCAUGUUUAAAAUUAUAUGUUAAUCCCAUUAUUUAUUUUCAGUGCAAGAAUAUGCAGAUAGAAUACACAC